UGCUCAAGCUAUAACACUACCAGACCUGAGAGGGAGGUUGAUUUAGAUUUAGAACUAGCAAACUGCGUGAAAUCUUAAUGUUAAUUAAUUUGUUGUAUUAAUUAUGCCGCUAAUGCACGUAUUGGUGGCAAAUUUGGAGGUUCAAAUAGUGGUUACAGUGUCCCUGGAGCAGAUUCAAGUUGGUUUAUCAGUUGUUAAUAUAUAUGGUGACUCCAUAUGAUAUAUAUAUAUAGUGUUGGUUUAUCAGUUGUUAAUGCUUUAUCAGAGGACACAUGGAAGACUAAAGUUGCAUAUCUACUGAUGGAGGGUAAUCCAAACUUCAGCAGUAGAAAAUAUUUUACUUGAUAGAAAAGAGUACAGGAAACCCAUGUAGUAUACUUAACUUUGUAAUCCCAACUUAGUAUGUUAGUUGUUAGCUGUUAUGUUCCUUGUGUGGUGAAGGUGAACAAUGAAUUUGUAAUGAGAAGCAGUAUAUGCAGUGUACUGAACUUGUAAUCUUAACUUAGUAUAGAAGAAGCUGCAAUGUUCCUUGUGUGGUGACCAAUGAAUUUGUAAUAUGAAGGCAGUAUGGAUUUGGUUGGCUUGAGAAACCAUGAUUCACUAUAUGGUCGUGAUCA